UACGUAGGCAGCAAGCGUUGUUCGGAGUUACUGGGCGUAAAGGGCGCGUAGGCGGCCACCGCAAGUCGACUGUGAAAUCUCCGGGCUUAACCCGGAAAGGUCAGCCGAUACUGCGGGGCUAGAGUGCAGAAGGGGCAACUGGAAUUCUCGGUGUAGCGGUGAAAUGCGUAGAUAUCGAGAGGAACACCUGCGGCGAAGGCGGGUUGCUGGGCUGACACUGACGCUGAGGCGCGAAAGCUAGGGGAGCGAACGGG
rnacentral:rRNA from 1 species